rnacentral:rRNA from 1 species
UACAUAUGUGGCGAGCGUUGUUCGGAAUUACUGGGCAUAAAGAGUUCGUAGGCGGUCCUGUAAGUCGGGUGUGAAAUCCCUCAGCUUACCUGAGGAAUGGCAUUCGAUACUGCUGGACUGGGGUCCCUGAGGGGAAAGUGGAAUUCCAGGUGUAGCGGUGAAAUGCGUAGAUAUCUGGGAGAAGGCCAAUGGCGAAGGCAGCUUUCUGGUGGGUGACCGACGCUGAGGAACGAAAGUCAGGGGAGCGAACGGG